GACGAACGCUGGCGGCGUGCUUAACACAUGCAAGUCGAGCGGAAAGGCCACUUCGGUGGUACUCGAGCGGCGAACGGGUGAGUAACACGUGAGUAAUCUGCCCCUGGCUUUGGGAUAGCCACCGGAAACGGUGAUUAAUACCGGAUAUGACCACUUCUCGCAUGGGUUGUGGUGGAAAGUUUUUCGGCCAGGGAUGUGCUCGCGGCCUAUCAGCUUGAUGGUGAGGUAAUGGCUCACCAUGGCUUCGACGGGUAGCCGGCCUGAGAGGGUGACCGGUCACACUGGGACUGAGACACGGCCCAGACUCCUACGGGAGGCAGCAGUGGGGAAUAUUGGACAAUGGGCGGAAGCCUGAUCCAGCAACGCCGCGUGAGGGAUGACGGCCUUCGGGUUGUAAACCUCUUUCAGUAGGGAAGAAGCGAAAGUGACGGUACCUGCAGAAAAAGCACCGGCUAACUACGUGCCAGCAGCCGCCGCCGUAA
rnacentral:rRNA from 1 species